UACGGCAACAUCACGUUGAAACACUGAUCCCGUACGACCACUGAAGUUAAGCAAAACUGAGCUUGGUUAGUAUCUAGAUGGGUGACCGUUUGGGAAUACCAAGUGCUGAAA